AAAAUGCGAUACGUAAUGCGAUCUGCAUGAACCUGUGAGUCAUCGAGUCUUUGAACGCAACUUGCACCCUUUUUGGGUAUGUCUGUUUGAGUAUCAUAAUACCAAUUUUGUCAUCAUUAUAUAUAAUGACGACAAAGACUUGUCCGGUCAGUUUGGCCGGAUUAAAAGGGUGUGUUCUCCAACUUUGUGAAUGGGGUUGUAGAACGGUGUAAACCGAGCUAGAGGCCUUUUUGGUCUUGUCGGUGUGACCCUUCCUCAACUACCCUCCUAACUUUGGUCUCAAAUCAGGCAAGGCUACCCGCUGAACUUAA
rnacentral:misc_RNA from 1 species